GGUAGAACACAAAAUGCUCUCAACAACACCCACAUACACAACCGGCCACCAAGCCACCGCCGCGGGCCACCGUCGCCGCCCCGCCUCUGCCCUACCGCCGCUGUUUGCCGCGGUUGGCCACGGCUUGGCGUCACCUCCCUCGUCGCGUUUCGUUGGUUCAUUUACUAGCACUUGUUCGUUGAACCUCGGUGUCUCGACCGGUUAGUCAGUAACCGAGGUGCUGUGUUAGAUGAUCAUGAUGCAAACAUAGGAUCGGACAAGGGCUUUAGUGACUUAAAACUAUGAAAGACAGUUUAAUUCAUGUUAUGCUUCUUAAAUUCCUUGACAAUGUAAACAUUUUACAUCAAUAAAACAAAACUUCAAUUA